UACGUAGGGUGCGAGCGUUGUCCGGAAUUAUUGGGCGUAAAGAGCUCGUAGGCGGUGUGUCGCGUCGGCCGUGAAAACCUGGGGCUCAACUCUGGGCGUGCGGUCGAUACGGGCAGGCUAGAGUUCGGUAGGGGAGACUGGAAUUCCUGGUGUAGCGGUGAAAUGCGCAGAUAUCAGGAGGAACACCAAUAGCGAAGGCAGCUCGCUGGGACGGUACUGACGCUAAGGCGCGAAAGCGUGGGGAGCGAACAGG
rnacentral:rRNA from 1 species